UACGUAGGGGGCGAGCGUUGUCCGGAUUCAUUGGGCGUAAAGAGCUCGUAGGCGGUUUGGCAAGUCGGGUGUGAAAUCUCCGGGCUCAACUCGGAGAGGCCACUCGAUACUGCUAUGACUAGAGUCCGGUAGGGGACAAUGGAAUUCCUAGUGUAGCGGUGAAAUGCGCAGAUAUCAGGAGGAACACCGGUGGCGAAGGCGGUAGUCUGGGCCGGUACUGACGCUGAGGAGCGAAAGCGUGGGGAGCGAACAGG
rnacentral:rRNA from 1 species